rnacentral:rRNA from 1 species
UAGUCCACGCCCUAAACGAUGCUAACUCGAUGUUUGGACGUAAGUUUGAGCAUCCAAGCGAAAGCGUUAAGUUAGCCACCUGGGGAGUACGUUCGCAAGAAUGAAACUCAAAGGAAUUGACGGGGGCCCGCACAAGCGGUGGAGCAUGUGGUUUAAUUCGAUGAUACGCGAGGAACCUUACCAGGGCUUAAAUGUAAGUUGCAUGAUUUAGAGAUAGAUCUUUCUUCGGACUACUUACAAGGUGCUGCAUGGUUGUCGUCAGCUCGUGCCGUGAGGUGUCAGGUUAAGUCCUAUAACGAGCGCAACCCUUACCGUUAGUUGCCAGCAUGUAAAGAUGGGGACUCUAACGGGACUGCCGGUGCAAACCGUGAGGAAGGUGGGGAUGACGUCAAAUCAUCACGGCCCUUACGUCCUGGGCUACACACGUGCUACAAUGGUAUAUACAGAGAGCAGCCAACUUGCGAGAGUGCGCGAAUCUAUAAAGUAUAUCACAGUUCGGAUCGG